rnacentral:tRNA from 1 species
GCCUGGGUGGCUCAGCCGGUUGAGCAUCUGGCUUUGGCUCAGGUCACGAUCUCGCAGUUUGUGAGUUUGAGCCCCACAUCAGGCU